rnacentral:lncRNA from 1 species
AUUGAGCAACUGCCAGAUUCAAUUGCUCACUUGAAGAAAUUAGUUUAUUUCAAGUUGGAAGGUAGCAAGCAGCUUAGAAAGUUACCUGAGCAAUUUGGGAACAUGGAAGCCUUGGAGGAAUUUAAUGCAUGUCACAGUGGAAUCGAACAACUGCCAGACUCGUUUUCAAACCUGCUUAAAUUGAGAUCUCUGAAUCUGAGAGGAUGUUCAGAGCUGAAGAGAUUGCCUGAGCAGUUGGGGAAGAUGCAGUGUCUAGAAAGGCUGGAAGCAUCUUAUACAGCAAUUGAAGAAUUACCGGAUUCUAUUGGACUACUGCCUAGGAUACAAGUGUUGAAUUUCGGUGAAUGCAAGAAGCUUAGAAAGUUACCUGAGCAAUUUGGGAACAUGGAAGCCUUGGAGGAAUUGGAUGCAGGUGGCAGUGCAAUCGAACAACUUCCAGACUCGUUUUCAAACCUGCUUAAAUUGAGAUCUCUGAAUCUGAGUUACUGUUCAGAGCUGAAGAGAUUGCCUGAGCAGUUGGGGAAGAUGCAGUGUCUAGAAGAGCUAUAUGCA